UCCCAGGUAGCUCCGCGGUAAAGAAUCUACCUGCCAAGAAGGAGACACAGGUUUGAUCCCUGCCUUGGGAA
rnacentral:tRNA from 1 species